rnacentral:rRNA from 1 species
UACAGGGGGGGCAAGCGUUGUUCGGAAUUACUGGGCGUAAAGGGUUCGUAGGUGGCUUACUAAGUCAGACGUGAAAUCCCUCAGCUUAACUGGGGAACUGCGUCUGAUACUGGAAAGCUUGAGUGCAGGAGAGGAACGCGGAAUUCCAGGUGUAGCGGUGAAAUGCGUAGAUAUCUGGAGGAACACCGGUGGCGAAGGCGGCAUCCUGGACCGACACUGACGCUGAGGAGCGAAAGCCAGGGGAGCAAACGGG